GAGUGCCCGCCCGGGCCGGGAGAGCGCCGGGCUUUGGGCACAUUGAGAGUAACGUGCCGGCUGGCGGGGUACGCUGCACAUCUGGCUCAGGGAAGUCACGAUACGUUCUUAAGACUGGUAGACCAAGAAAGAUCGCCGAUCUAGAGACGUACACGGCCUCUAGCAAGUUACAGGAUCCAUAAAAGAGAAGUGCAAGAGCAUAACGACAAAGUUGUCACAAGAAUUAAUAGCUAUAACUGGCCAGGAGUAAAUUCAAGCUAGAGAUGAGGGAGAGGUGGUAUAAUCAAUGCACUUGGCCCGAGUUUCUAUCCACAGGGCAGGAAAAUGAGGAGAGAGAUGGGGUGUGAGCUCAGGAUCUCUUCCAAAUGUGGUAAAAGACCACCUGUUGCUUGAAGAGAAAAAACAGUAAUUACAUCUUAAAAGUGCUAUUUUAACUAGGCCAGUACUCCAUCUAGUCACCAGUUAUAAUAUUAAGAUGCAUAAAAAAGACAUUUCAGAGCAAAUGUUGCCAUGUACCUAAGUUUAGAAUCCCACACCCCACAUGACAGGAAAAAAGCAGAACUACUUUCUUAUCACAAGAUUAGGAAACCUAAAAGCUAUUUAGCAGCCUGAAAGAACAACAGCAACAUGUUCCUUUGCUGAAGCCUAUUUGGACAAUAUAUUUUGUGUGGCAUAUAUUAAUGGCGGUGAAGUUGAAAAAUCCGUAAGAACUACCUUCAUCUUUUUCUGUCUACCUCCAGAAAAAGACAUAAACAUAAAUCCUUCUCAUAUAUAUUACCUCUUGAGCAGCCUUACCCCUCUCUCAAAAAAUAAAAAAAAAGGAAGAGCACUUGCAAGUCAUCCUGAGUUCACGAAAGGACAAUAACAAAAGCAUGAUAUAUGCAAAAAACAGUAACAGCAUAUGGUUGCUUGUUCUUUUCUUUGUGUGGAGGCACUUGGAAACCUCUGGGCUGGUUAGCAAAACUUCUGUGGAUAUAGGGCAAGAAAUUUGGUAAAAAUAGCCUGGCCUCCCAGCUUCAUAAUGCAGAACCUUUUGUUGUUGUUGUUGUUGUAUGACCAGGAAAUACCAGGAAAUAAGUAAGAUCGUUGUUUAGGAAGAGUAAGGUGAAAUGCGUACUGGUGUUAUUUGCAAGAAGGCUUCUAGCUUGAUGUUCCACAAGACUGAGAAAUCACAUCUUGUUCUGCAAGGAAAAUGAGAUAAUUCUAUCCCAUGACAUUGGAAAUUUCAUUAUAGCACAUGCCUGUGCUUUGUAUUUCUAGAAAAAGAAGUCAGAGGGGAGUAAGUUUCACAAGGUUUGUUCUGAACUGAAAUUCAGAAAGUUUAGAGUUUAGCAGUGUCAUAGACUUCUCUUGGGAGUCUGGAAUACCUGAUACUUUCAUCUGCCUCCCUGGCUGCCUCACUGUACUGUGCUGCUGUCUGUAUGGCUCGGAACUCAGUUCCUGAGUCUCCACAGUUUACAAUAUGGGAAAAUUAUCACUGAAGUCUGACAUUUUGAAGAAAAUAUGGGUUGUGGUUGUUAGGAGAAGGUAAAGGUUACCAGCAAGAGACAAGAAGAGAAAUGGAGGAAGGAAAAAGGAGCAGGAAGAGGAUGACUGAGACAGAGUGAACCAUUAUAUCCUCACUGCAGUACUGGUCUUCCAAAAAAGUCUCCAAGUUCAGCUCCUAUUUUGAUCAUAGUGGAAAAAAAGAGGAAGGCUGCCAGCCUGGAUAGGGGGGAUAGUCAGGGGGAGUCAAGGAAUUGAAUGGAGAACACAGAGGGCAGUAGCAAUAACCAAAGAAUUUUUAAAUAUAUGUGGAAAGAUAGUGAGUCCAAAUGGAUCACCCCAGAACAGCAGGCUGGAGAGAAUCCAAAUUCUUGAAUGUCAUGUGACAGCAGCUCGUCUUCCUCUCCCCAAAUCCAAGUUUAUAGACAGCAUGUUACGCUGUUUAUAAUGAGGGGACUGAGUUCCUGUGCUGGGGCUGGCUGCUCAGUGAAACAGCAGAUCAAUGUCUGCACCAACACCACCUCAGCCCUCUAGAACCUAGACAGGCUCUUGCACUGCAUCUGGCAGCUCCUCAUUUUCUAACACUGCUUGUUACCCCACUCACCCUCAAGUGGACUAAAAGUACUUUUAAUACAGGACUGCAAUCCUUGGCUUAAACAUGUCAUUCCCUCCCUGUGGCUGUAUGCCAACAUUUAAACUGCAGGGUGAUGAAUGGACAUAACUCUAAGGGAAAAUGCAGAGCUUAAGGAACUAGCUAUUCCUUGUAGGAAUAUGGACUGAAAAGUGGAGCAGGUGGAGUAGUGCCAAUAGUGUGCAGAGCACCGACAUGAAUGCUGAGCUCACAUUAACACACUGUGCAGCAGAGUGGACUUUUUCCAUCAAGAUCACACACUUCCAUUAAUUAUUACACAGAAUAUACACUCCUACUAUGCUAUACCAACAUUUCCACACAGAGUUCAGUGCCAGUGCAAACCUCCUCUCUACACUGUCUUUUAUCUCAGCACAGCUUUAUUUUCUUGCAACUGCUUUAGGAAAACUGUUUUUUAAUAUCCUGCUUCUAGAAUAUUAGAUUAGAUUAUACUUUGUUAUUAUCACUUUUGCUGUAACAUAAAUUUGUUCAUAUGUGCAUACUUCCAUCUCCUGGACUGAAUGUAUAUUGCACUUUCUGGCAAUACUGAUGUGUCUUAUGGCUA